GAUGAACGCUGGCGGCGUGCCUAAUACAUGCAAGUCGAGCGGACGGACGAGAAGCUUGCUUCUCUGAUGUUAGCGGCGGACGGGUGAGUAACACGUGGAUAACCUACCUAUAAGACUGGGAUAACUUCGGGAAACCGUAGCUAAUACCGGAUAAUAUUUUGAACCGCAUGGUUCAAAAGUGAAAGACGGUCUUGCUGUCACUUAUAGAUGGAUCCGCGCUGCAUUAGCUAGUUGGUAAGGUAACGGCUUACCAAGGCAACGAUGCAUAGCCGACCUGAGAGGGUGAUCGGCCACACUGGAACUGAGACACGGUCCAGACUCCUACGGGAGGCAGCAGUAGGGAAUCUUCCGCAAUGGGCGAAAGCCUGACGGAGCAACGCCGCGUGAGUGAUGAAGGUCUUCGGAUCGUAAAACUCUGUUAUUAGGGAAGAACAUAUGUGUAAGUAACUGUGCACAUCUUGACGGUACCUAAUCAGAAAGCCACGGCUAACUACGUG
rnacentral:rRNA from 1 species